rnacentral:rRNA from 1 species
GAUGAACGCUGGCGGCGUGCCUAAUACAUGCAAGUCGAGCGAACGGACGAGAAGCUUGCUUCUCUGAUGUUAGCGGCGGACGGGUGAGUAACACGUGGAUAACCUACCUAUAAGACUGGGAUAACUUCGGGAAACCGGAGCUAAUACCGGAUGAUAUUUUGAACCGCAUGGUUCAAAAGUGAAGGACGGUCUUGCUGUCACUUAUAGAUGGAUCCGGGCUGCAUUAGCUAGUUGGUAAGGUAACGGCUUACCAAGGCAACGAUGCAUAGCCGACCUGAGAGAGUGAUCGGCCACACGGGAGCGGAGACACGGUCAAGACUCCUACGGGAGGCAGCAGUAGGGAAUCGUCCGCAAUGGGCGAAAGCCUUACGGAGCAACGCCGCGUGAGUGAUGAAGGUCUUCGGAUCGUAAAACUCUGUUAUUAGGGAAGAACAUAUGUGUAAGUAACUGUGCACAUCUUGACGGUACCUAAUCAGAAAGCCACGGCUAACUACGUG